UUAAAUUGAAGAGUUUGAUCAUGGCUCAGAUUGAACGCUGGCGGCAGGCCUAACACAUGCAAGUCGAACGGUAACAGGAAGCAGCUUGCUGCUUUGCUGACGAGUGGCGGACGGGUGAGUAAUGUCUGGGAAACUGCCUGAUGGAGGGGGAUAACUACUGGAAACGGUGGCUAAUACCGCAUAAUGUCGCAAGACCAAAGAGGGGGACCUUCGGGCCUCUUGCCAUCAGAUGUGCCCAGAUGGGAUUAGCUUGUUGGUGAGGUAACGGCUCACCAAGGCGACGAUCCCUAGCUGGUCUGAGAGGAUGACCAGCCACACUGGAACUGAGACACGGUCCAGACUCCUACGGGAGGCAGCAGUGGGGAAUAUUGCACAAUGGGCGCAAGCCUGAUGCAGCCAUGCCGCGUGUAUGAAGAAGGCCUUCGGGUUGUAAAGUACUUUCAGCGGGGAGGAAGGUGUUGUGGUUAAUAACCGCAGCAAUUGACGUUACCCGCAGAAGAAGCACCGGCUAACUCCGUGCCAGCAGCCGCGGUAAUACGGAGGGUGCAAGCGUUAAUCGGAAUUACUGGGCGUAAAGCGCACGCAGGCGGUCUGUCAAGUCGGAUGUGAAAUCCCCGGGCUCAACCUGGGAACUGCAUUCGAAACUGGCAGGCUUGAGUCUUGUAGAGGGGGGUAGAAUUCCAGGUGUAGCGGUGAAAUGCGUAGAGAUCUGGAGGAAUACCGGUGGCGAAGGCGGCCCCCUAGACAAAGACUGACGCUCAGGUGCGAAAGCGUGGGGAGCAAACAGGAUUAGAUACCCUGGUAGUCCACGCCGUAAACGAUGUCUACUUGGAGGUUGUGCCCUUGAGGCGUGGCUUCCGGAGCUAACGCGUUAAGUAGACCGCCUGGGGAGUACGGCCGCAAGGUUAAAACUCAAAUGAAUUGACGGGGGCCCGCACAAGCGGUGGAGCAUGUGGUUUAAUUCGAUGCAACGCGAAGAACCUUACCUGGUCUUGACAUCCACGGAACUUUCCAGAGAUGGAUUGGUGCCUUCGGGAACCGUGAGACAGGUGCUGCAUGGCUGUCGUCAGCUCGUGUUGUGAAAUGUUGGGUUAAGUCCCGCAACGAGCGCAACCCUUAUCCUUUGUUGCCAGCGGUCCGGCCGGGAACUCAAAGGAGACUGCCAGUGAUAAACUGGAGGAAGGUGGGGAUGACGUCAAGUCAUCAUGGCCCUUACGACCAGGGCUACACACGUGCUACAAUGGCGCAUACAAAGAGAAGCGACCUCGCGAGAGCAAGCGGACCUCAUAAAGUGCGUCGUAGUCCGGAUUGGAGUCUGCAACUCGACUCCAUGAAGUCGGAAUCGCUAGUAAUCGUGGAUCAGAAUGCCACGGUGAAUACGUUCCCGGGCCUUGUACACACCGCCCGUCACACCAUGGGAGUGGGUUGCAAAAGAAGUAGGUAGCUUAACCUUCGGGAGGGCGCUUACCACUUUGUGAUUCAUGACUGGGGUGAAGUCGUAACAAGGUAACCGUAGGGGAACCUGCGGUUGGAUCACCUCCUUACCUUAAAGAA
rnacentral:rRNA from 1 species